GACGAACGCUGGCGGCGUGCUUAACACAUGCAAGUCGAACGGAAAGUCCCUGCUUUGGUGGGGUGCUCGACUUGCGAACGGGGGAGUAACCCGUGAGUAACCUGCCCUUGACUUUGGGGUGACUUCAGGCAACUGGGGCUAAUCGCGGCUAGGAGCUCCUGCUGCAUGGUGGGGGUUGGAAAGUUUCGGCGGUUGGGGAUGGACUCGCGGCUUAUCAGCUUGUUGGAGGGGUAGUGGCUUAGCAUGGCUUUGACCGGUAGCAUGGCUGAGCGGGUGACCGGCUACAUUGGGACUGAGAUACGGCACAGCCUCCUACGGUACGCAGCAGUGGGGAGUAUUGUACAAUGGGCUGAAGCCUGAUGCAGUACCGCCGCGUGGGGGAUGACGGCCAGCGGGUUGUAAUCCGCUUUCGCCUGUGACGAAGCGUGAGUGACGGUAACGGGUAAAGAAGCACCGGCUAACUACGUG
rnacentral:rRNA from 1 species